UAGCGCUGGUUUUUCUUAAGUCGUGCAUAAAUCUUUCGCCUUUUAUUAAAGAUUUUUGUGGUGAGGAACAUCAAUGAGUUUAAUGUGUUUUUGUGGGCUUUGCCCUGGCAAUGCU